UCGGGUUGGUGUUAGGGGUCAGAGGUCAGGGCUCGGGUUGGUUUUAGGGCUCAGAGGUCAGGCCUCGGGUAGCAGGCUCGGGUUGGUUUUAGGGCUCAGAGGUCAGGGCUCGGGUAGCGGGCUCGGGUUGGUUUUAGGGCUCAGAGGUCAGGGCUCGGGUAGUCGGGCUCGGGUUGGUUUUAGGGCUCAGAGGUCAGGGCUCGGGUUGGUGUUAGGGGUCAGAGGUCAGGGCUCGGGUAGCCGGGCUCGGUUUGGUUUUAGGGCUCA